GGCAGCCAAUUAUUCAGUGUUGUGAACUGAGCACCCCUCAAACUCAUUUAAAUCAUGGGGUGCUCGUUAGCCUGUGGGAUUGAGUAGUAAGGUAGUGAGGUUCAUAAACCUUAAGUACCAGCAGCUCCUAGACACAGUGGGCUGUGAGUCAUGGCAAUCAGGGCAAUUUGGGCUCUAUCUUAACAAGUUUUGUCUCCACGCCUGUGUACCCAAAGAGGCUCUCCCUGCCUCUUGAACAUAAUGGCAAUGUUUCAAUGACACAGUUGAACAUAAUGACAGUGUUUCAAUGACAUAGUUGAUGCAGCUUUAGGACAUCUGAGAUAAAAAACAGAAUAACCGGGCCACGUGGCACCAAUAAAUUUAUUCUGCUCUUUCAGAUUUGUUCAAAGGAUUUUGGUGUGUACCGGUAGACUUUGUGCUGGCUCUUGGACUAUCUAUAUGCACAUCUGUGAUAUCUCUGGAUCAGCUAUAUUCACCCCUAGCUAGUAUUACAAUGGCCUAAAUGCUCUGUCAUAUUCUCUGGCUAAUUUAACAGAGGUGCAGCUGCAGACUGCUGCCUGAUCUGCAUCAAAUUAGUACUGUUAGGCAGUGUGGAUAUCAGCUAUUAAUGAUUGUGCAAUCAUGCCCUCUUGUCAAAUAAGACGUAGGAGAGAAGUGACUUAAGUCUUCUUUCCAGGGUAAGGGAUUACAGAUUAUUAAAGAUGCUCGGCUCUGUUCUAGCUGCACACAGAUAUUACUGCUGAUUUUGUCUGUCUUGCUUUGCCCUGUGUCUGUGCCGUCUGUGUCAGAAAUUUUAUCCUCUAGCCCAAGCCAUCAUAAGAGAGUGCUUUCAGGGCUGUGAGCAGGCUACAUCCGGCUUCUGCAGCCACUUCAGUUCCUGCAUGUUUUCCGAGCCUGCUAUGUGAUCUCAGAAUGCUUUAGGUGAUGUCAUUGCUUUCACAUAGCAGCGAGAAAGUGGGAUGUGCAAAGGGUGCCUCUGAGGGAAGAAGAAACAGGGAGCUUCCUUCGUUGCUGUAGGAAAGCACCAGAAGCUGAGAAAGAAGUCUAGUGCACGUCUGAGCCCAGCCCCUAACUCUGAAGCAGAUAAGCAGCAUUAUGACAGCAACAUAAAAACAAGAUCAGUCUGUAGAGCUGAAGCGUUUGCAGCAUUCACAAGUGAAAAGUUGUCAGACACUGAAACACAGCUCCUUCAAAAUGACCCUCUCCUGCUUGGACUCCUCGUGAACCCUGUGGCCUGUGGAUAGCACUUGUGAAUAUGCAUGAGCUGAUAAGAGAAUCUAAUGUGUGAAUCACACUUAAAACAGACCCACCCACUCACUCCCUGACAUCAGCUUUUUCAGAACUGUGAAGUGAGAGCGAUUUUAAAAUUAGAAAGCAUGUCAUUGGGAACUUUUAUCAGCCCUCAGAGAAAAUAAAUAACCUCCCAAGAUGUGA